rnacentral:rRNA from 1 species
GACGAACGCUGGCGGCGUGCUUAACACAUGCAAGUCGAACGGUGAAGCGCCUUCCUUUUUGGUGGGUGUGGAUGAGUGGCGAACGGGUGAGUAACACGUGAGUAACCUGCCCCCUUCUUCUGGAUAACCGCAUGAAAGUGUGGCUAAUACGGGAUAUUCUGGGUCUGUCGCAUGAUGGGUCUGGGAAAGAUAUUGUUUCGGUGGGGGAUGGGCUCGCGGCCUAUCAGCUUGUUGGUGGGGUGAUGGCCUACCAAGGCGGUGACGGGUAGCCGGCCUGAGAGGGUGUGCGGUCACACUGGGACUGAGACACGGCCCAGACUCCUACGGGAGGCAGCAGUGGGGAAUAUUGCACAAUGGGCGCAAGCCUGAUGCAGCGACGCCGCGUGAGGGAUGGAGGCCUUCGGGUUGUGAACCUCUUUCGCCAGUGAAGCAGGCCUGCCUCGUUUGUGGGUGGGUUGACGGUAGCUGGAUAAGAAGCGCCGGCUAACUACGUG